rnacentral:rRNA from 1 species
AGCGACGCCGCGUGGGUGACGAAGGCCUUCGGGUUGUAAAGCCCUGUGGGGUAGAACGAACUGGCAUCGGGCUAAUAUCCCGGUGUCUUGACGGUACUGCCUUAGCAAGCAUCGGCUAACUCUGUGCCAGCAGCCGCGGUAAGACAGAGGAUGCGAACGUUGCUCGGAUUUACUGGGCGUAAAGCGCGUGUAGGCGGUCUCGUUAGUCGGGUGUGAAAGCCCCGGGCUCAACCCGGGAAGUGCACCCGAUACUGCGAGACUGGGGUACUGAAGAGGAGAGCGGAAUUCCCGGUGUAGAGGUGAAAUUCGUAGAUAUCGGGAGGAACACCAGUGGCGAAGGCGGCUCUCUGGGCAGAUACCGACGCUGAGACGCGAAAGCGUGGGGAGCAAACAGGAUUAGAUACCCUGGUAGUCCACGCUGUAAACGAUGACGACUGGGUGUUGCAGGUAUUGACCCCUGCGGUGCCGAAGCCAACGCGUUAAGUCGUCCGCCUGGGAAGUACGGCCGCAAGGCUAAAACUCAAAGGAAUUGACGGGGG